rnacentral:rRNA from 1 species
UUGUCCGUACUGAUGUGAUGGGUUCUUACCUUCUGAAUAACCAGCAUGUCAUUAAUUUGGUGUGUUGGGGAAGCAGGACUAUUACCUUGAAAAAAUUAGAGUGCUCAAAGCAGGCUAGUGCCUGAAUACAUUAGCAUGGAAUAAUAAAAUAGGACGGCAUGGUUCUAUUUUGUUGGUUUCUAGGAUCACCGUAAUGAUUAAUAGGGAUAGUUGGGGGCAUUAGUAUUCAAUUGUCAGAGGUGAAAUUCUUGGAUUUAUUGAAGACUAACUUCUGCGAAAGCAUUUGCCAAGGAUGUCUUCAUUAAUCAAGAACGAAAGUUAGGGGAUCGAAGACAAUCAGAUACCGUCGUAGUCUUAACCAUAAACUAUGCC